rnacentral:rRNA from 1 species
UCGAGAAUAUUCCACAAUGGACGAAAGUCUGAUGGAGCGACGCCGCGUGCGGGAAGAAGGCCUUAGGGUCGUAAACCGCUUUUGUAAGGGAAGAAUGUAAUGACGGUACCUUGCGAAUAAGAGGUUGCUAACUCUGUGCCAGCAGCAGCGGUAAUACAGAGACCUCAAGCGUUAUCCGGAUUUAUUGGGCGUAAAGAGCAUGUAGGCGGAUAUAUUAGUCAGAUGUCAAAUCUCCGAGCUCAACUCGGAAACUGCAUUUGAAACGGUAUAUCUAGAGGAAGCGAGAGACCAAUAGAACGUAUGGUGUAGCAGUGAAAUGCGUUGAUAUCAUACGGAAUACCAAAGGCGAAAGCAUUUGGUUGGCGCUUUUCUGACGCUAAGAUGCGAAAGCGUGGGUAGC